rnacentral:lncRNA from 1 species
GCCUAAUUGUGAGAGAGAUUAAUUCUUGAUUUAAUCAAGACUUGGGUUCAGUUAAUUUCUGAUUAGAUUGGGGUUUAAUUAAGGAGAUUAGAUUUCUAAUUUGGUUAGAUUUCCUUCUUCCCUUGGAUCCAAACCAGAUAAGAUUUGAUUUGAUACAAAAUAGGAAACUCAGAAUCCCAAAACCCUGAGACUCCUCAAUGAUUUGGUUUGAGUCAUGAUCUUUAUCCUUUCCUAAUAUGAAUAUGAUUCAAAUCUAAAGGAUAAGGCAGAUGGUUUCAUGAUGAGUCAUGAUCCUUAUCCUUUCCUAAUAUGAAUAUGAUUCAAAUCAAAAGGAUAAGGCAGAGUGUUUCUUGAUAAGUCAUGAUCCUUAUCUCCUUCUUGUUUUGAAUUUGAUUCAAAUAUAGAUAAGAAGAUAAGAAGGAAACCAAUCAGAGAUUUUAUGAAAACUUUUGGUGGUGCCCCCUCCUCC